GACGAACGCUGGCGGCGUGCUUAACACAUGCAAGUCGAACGGUGAAGCAGAGCUUGCUCUGUGGAUCAGUGGCGAACGGGUGAGUAACACGUGAGCAACCUGCCCUGGACUCUGGGAUAAGCGCUGGAAACGGCGUCUAAUACUGGAUACGAGACGUGGCCGCAUGGUCAACGUUUGGAAAGAUUUUUUGGUUCAGGAUGGGCUCGCGGCCUAUCAGCUUGUUGGUGAGGUAAUGGCUCACCAAGGCGUCGACGGGUAGCCGGCCUGAGAGGGUAACCGGCCACACUGGGACUGAGACACGGCCCAGACUCCUACGGGAGGCAGCAGUGGGGAAUAUUGCACAAUGGGCGAAAGCCUGAUGCAGCAACGCCGCGUGAGGGAUGACGGCCUUCGGGUUGUAAACCUCUUUUAGCAAGGAAGAAGCGAAAGUGACGGUACUUGCAGAAAAAGCGCCGGCUAACUACGUGCCAGCCGCCGCCGUAA
rnacentral:rRNA from 1 species